UAUAGCUCAGUUGGUAGAGCAUGUGAUUCUUAAUCUUGGGGUCGUGGGUUUGAGCCCCACAAGUGGGCAAAA